rnacentral:lncRNA from 1 species
GGCGCUGACAGACGUGCCAAGGGAGGGGGCGGCUGGCGGUGAGGACCUGCCCACAGUGAGUCCUUAAAGCCCGGGCCCCAGGGGAGGAGGCGGAGCCGCAGGACAGCGGGUCGCACCAGGGGGCUCUGGUCACCCCUCCUCUACCUGCUUGCUCCCCACCCUGUCGCCUGGGGAGGCACGAGCCUGAGGUCCGGGCAUUUCAAGGCUCCCUGAGUCCUUCAGGAGGAUGGUGCCCAGGCCACCCCCCGGGAAAGCAGUUCCCAGGGUCACACAGCCAGCUCAUGCUCAACUUGGAGCUAACGAGGAGAGAGGUGGGGAAAGCAAUUGUUCUCGAGCACCUACUGUGUGCCUGACACUGAGCGGAGCCCUGGGAAUACACUGUGAAUGGAACAGCCCCAAACCCCUGCCUGGAGCCGACAAGGAAACAGGCCAGACAAACCCAAGAAGUGGAUCUGAUCAUCCUUGUUUUACCAAGGAGGAAACUGAGGCACAGAGAAGGGCAGGGACUUGCCCAGGGUCACACAGCAGAAGCAGAUCCCAGUCUCUUCCAUCUGGCUCCCAAGCCCGUGCUCCUGUGCUUCUGAGAGCUCAAGUGGAAUGAGCCGCACAUGAGCCAGGUCACAGAGGGGAAACAAGAAGGCGUUCCUGGCAGAGGGAACAGCAUGGGCAGGGGAGAGACAGCUCACGGAGCAGCGAGAGAGAAUAUCUAGGGGGCUGGGGUGGAGAGAGGGAGGGGCUGGGGUGAGGGCAUGGGGACCUUGAAUGUCAUGCCAGGGAGUCCGGGCUUUGUCCAGGGGCAUAGGGGGGACGUGAAGGCUUUAGAGCAGGCCGGAGAGGGUCACUGACACGGGCCAACUGCUGCAGUCCCCUCCCGCUGUCUUGUCUGCUUCCGUCCCAGCCUCCACAGCCCCUUCUCCACUCACAGCCAGAGGGAUCCUGUGAAAACCCAAGUCCGACCGAGUCCUGCCUCUGCUCAGAACCCUCCAUAGCUCCCACCUCCUGCAGAGAAAACGCCAAAGUCCUUACAACGCCCCACAAGGCCCUGUGUGCUCUGCCCCUGCCCUCGCCUCCUCCCACUCUCCCUCACUCACUCGGCUCCCCACACC